UGAGAUACCAAGUCAUAAUUUCAAACUAUGAGAUAAGCCUACCGGAGCCGUUGAGAGACAAGCCUCCUUGGAGGAACAGCGUGGCUGAACUCAUUUACAGGCAUUGCUCCUAAAUACUUGGGACGUCUGCAGACAGGAUUUACCAAAACAUACAAAUGUUAUCGAGGGAAAUGACAUCAGCACCUAUGAGACAGACGAAGGAGGUUCCAUUGACCCGAAUGUGAAUAGAGAUCGAUUCCAGUGUCAUACCGCUCAUGACAGAUGAGCAGCUGAAGGUGUAUCUCCCAUCUUACGGUGAUCGACUGGCCCUUCUUGGAUAUUGCAGACGGAGGGAAAAUGAUCCUGCUGGCCGGAAAUCAAAACUUCUUGACAGACUCAGAGCAAAGAUGUCAAGAAACAAAAGCAAGGAUCAUAGGGAGGUUGCAGAAAAUGAAACCGUCAAAAAUGCUCAAAAAAAUGUACGGAAAGUUGAAUUAGGAUGGCUGAAUUUUCGAGAUGGAAAGUAUUCUCAAGUUAGGACAAAGAAAGGUGGUGGAACAAGAAAAGUU